rnacentral:rRNA from 1 species
UACGUAGGGUGCGAGCGUUAAUCGGAAUUACUGGGCGUAAAGUGUGCGCAGGCGGCCGCGCAAGUCGAGUGUGAAAGCCCCCGGGCUUAACUUGGGAAUUGCGCUCGAAACUACGUGGCUGGAGUGUGGCAGAGGAAGGUGGAAUUCCAGGUGUAGCGGUGAAAUGCGUAGAGAUCUGGAAGGAACACCGAUGGCGAAGGCAGCCUUCUGGGCCAACACU